AAUGAACGCUGGCGGCAUGCCUAAUACAUGCAAGUCGAGCGAACAGACGAGGAGCUUGCUCCUCUGGCUUUAGCGCCGGAGGGGAGAGUAACACAUGGAUAACCUACCUAUAAGACUGGGAUACCUUCGGGGAACCAGAUCUAAUACCGGAUAAUAUAUUGAACCGCAUGGUUCCCGAGUUAAAGACGGUUUUGCUUUCACUUAUAGCUUGAUACGCCCCGCAUUAGCUAGUUGGUAAGGUGACGGAUUACCAAGGCUACGAUGCAUAGCCGACCUGAGAGGGUGAUCGGCCACACUGGAACUGAGACACGGUCCAGACUCCUACGGGAGGCAGCAGUAGGGAAUCUUCCGCAAUGGGCGAAAGCCUGACGUAGCAACGCCGCGUGAGUGAUGAAGGUCUUCGGAUCGUAAAACUCUGUUAUUAGGGAAGAACAAAUGUUUAAUUAACUAUGCACAUCUUGACGGUACCUAAUCAGAAAGCCACGGCUAACUACGUG
rnacentral:rRNA from 1 species